rnacentral:misc_RNA from 1 species
GAUGAAGAACGCAGCGAAAUGCGAUAAGUAAUGCGAAUUGCAGAAUUUCCGUGAGUCAUCGAAUCUUUGAACGCACAUUGUGCCCACUGGUAUUCCGGUGGGCAUGCCUGUUCGAGCGUCAUUAUCCUCCCUCAAACCUCGGGUUUGGUGUUGGACCCAAGUUGUGUGAACAACUGGUCUUAAAGACAAUGACGGCGUCCGUGGGACCCUCGGUGCAACGAGCUUUUAGGAGCACGCGUCGAGUUUCAAGGACCUUCCGGGCCGGUCUCCUUUACCAUUUUACAAGGUUGACCUCGGAUCAGGUAGGAAUACCCGCUGAACUUAAGCAUAUCAAUAAGCGGAGGA